rnacentral:misc_RNA from 1 species
CGCUACGAAAGUGCGCGUGGCUGACACACGAGGGACCUGCGAUAGGGAGCCGGCGUUUUAUUGGCGAGGGAAAAAGAAAAUGGUGCUAAGUCGGGAUCGCUUCGUCAAACGGGCAGGCGUUGAAGGAUCAGCCGAGGCAGCAAUUAAAAAGGACGAUGCCCAGGCCGAAUGGUUCCUUGCGCAAGCAUCUGCUGUCCACGAUGAUGUAACACGACGUUUCAACAAUAGCUCGUUCGUUGAAGCGGCGAUCGACAGGUCCCGUUCCUCGAAAAGCAGCUCUAUGCAAAUUUUCCAG